rnacentral:rRNA from 1 species
UAGGGAAUCUUCCGCAAUGGGCGAAAGCUUGACGGAGCAACGCCGCGUGAGUGAUGAAGGUCUUCGGAUCGUAAAACUCUGUUAUUAGGGAAGAACAAAUGUGUAAGUAACUAUGCACGUCUUGACGGUACCUAAUCAGAAAGCCACGGCUAACUACGUGCCAGCAGCCGCGGUAAUACGUAGGUGGCAAGCGUUAUCCGGAAUUAUUGGGCGUAAAGCGCGCGUAGGCGGUUUUUUAAGUCUGAUGUGAAAGCCCACGGCUCAACCGUGGAGGGUCAUUGGAAACUGGAAAACUGGAGUGCAGAAGAGGAAAGUGGAAUUCCAUGUGUAGCGGUGAAAUGCGCAGGGAUAUGGAGGAACACCAGUGGCGAAGGCGACUUUCUGGUCUGUAACUGACGCUGAUGUGCGAAGGCGGGGGGAUCAAACAGG